rnacentral:rRNA from 1 species
CAAGAGCGUAUGUAAAAGUUGUUGCAGUUAAAAAGCUCGUAGUUGAACCUUGGGUUUGGUUGGCCGGUCCGCUUUUUUGCGAGUACUGGAUUAAACCGAGCCUUUCCUUCUGGCUAACCAGUCGUUUCGGCGGCUGGCGAACCAGGAUUUUUACUUUGAGAAAAUUAGAGUGUUCAAAGCAGGCAUUAGCUUGAAUAUAUUAGCAUGGAAUAAUAGAAUAGGACGUUAUGGUUCUAUUUUGUUGGCUUCUAGGACCAUCGUAAUGAUUAAUAGGGACGGUCGGGGGCAUCAGUAUUCAGUUGUCAGAGGUGAAAUUCUUGGAUUUACUGAAGACUAACUACUGCGAAAGCAUUUGCCAAGGACGUUUUCAUUAA